UCCUAAUUGACCUAAAACGGGAAGCUUAGUCUGUUUUCAUGUGAGAUGGUGAGGGGGGGAAAAAAAAGAUUAUGUGAGUUUUUAUGAAAUGUAUGUAAAUAUCUGGUUCUACUGCUCCAUGUACACACAUUGAUUUAUGAUUAUUUUUGAUUUUCCCUGAGUCAGGCGAACUUAAUUUCCAUUUCUACUUUCCUCAUUCUCGGAGCCUUGGGUCUGGACUUGGCCCCCUUCGUUCCUCCAUCAGCUGAGACGGACAGUUUGCAUGGUUUCUCUCACCCAGGCCAGCUUUUAAAAACACAUCCACAUACACACACCUCCUACAUGGCGAUGAUGGAUACAUGUGCAAAAGCACAUCUACACACGUCGGAGGAGUGUUUGUUCUUGACUCAUGUAGCACGUCGACGGGUUUGGCAGUCUGUCAGGCAUCUAUCAGCCCAUGUCAUCAAGUGAUGCAUCGCUUCUCUGAGUCUCUCGGCUUGACUGGCUUCUCUGGUAGCUGAGCAAGGCAGGCACGAGGGGACACUGUGGGGCAUGAUAUCUCUGGAGGGUAACGGCAUUGGAGCAAAUGAAGGGCUUGAAAUGUGGAAUGUAAAGGAAACAUUCACUUCCACACUCGCAGAUGGAAUCUUUAUUUACAGUAAGCUGCUGAAUUCUCAGCCACCCCUCGUUUCAGUUUGCUUUUGCUUCAAAGGAGCCAGACUUUCUUGUAAUCUUCUAAAGUGGUCGUGAGCAAAAGUUCCCAGGGCUUUUUAUCUUGCAAGAUCUUUUAGAGCUUUUGUCUCAACCAUUUUGUGAUGCACAUUUACUCUUGUACAAAUGGUUCCGUGCGCGAUUCGUUUUAUGUUUAGUUUUCAAAGUGUUAUACCUUUAAAUACUUUCAAUUAAAUGACUUUUCUUAGGAUUUACUGAACAUAAAAAUACAUUAUUCCAGGAGAAAAUGAUUAGCAAAUAAAAAUCCAAAGUAUGUUUUGCAUUUAUAAUUAGCCCCCUUCAGCCUGAUACCCCCUAAUAAAAACCAGCAAUCUUGAGAAGUUUGUUAGAGAAUAUUGGUGAACAAACAUCUUCAUUAAGGGUCGAGGAACGGAUUGGAUUUAAUUUGAUUGGAUUUGAAAUGUUUUUUGGUUUGAGACGCUUAUAGAAAUAUACUCAUAAAGAGUUUUCCACAGUAUCCAUGGAGAUGACUAGGUACUUUUGGAUGUCGUGUUUUUCGGUCUUUUGGUCAUAAGUUUUAAAACAAGUUUUCACAGAUUAAAUAAUUACACACGACUUUUUCUUGGUCUUUAAAGGAAAAAAAACCCUCAAUAAAAUACAUUCUACUUUGUGGGUUUUAAUGUGAAAACAUUCAGAAAUGUUUAAAAGAUUGCAAUAUUUCCCAGGUGCUAAAAUGAGCAUGUCUGUCAGGUCUGCUUUGCCACUCAAUAUUUCUGUUGUACAUUUGUAAAAAACAAAACAAACAAACAAAAAAAAAAACAAAGUUCGAUCUUUCUGCUCUGGUGGAUUCUUUUUUCAGGCUGUGUGAGUCUGUCUCCGCUUGUGUGGGAAAUUGUGUGGGUAUACAUAAAUAAACUGGAGGAACUAUUUUGAAAACCUCUCAGUUUACAUGUCUGUGGAUGACCUUAGUCUGGCGUGACGUUGCCUUAAAUGGUUUGUGUUCAAAAAUAUGACAUAAAAAAGUGUUGUUGCUUCUUUGUUGUGUUUGAUUCUGUAUAGUCUGUGGAUCUGUGCUGUUAUAGUUUGUGAAGUCUUUGUUGACGCCUAAACACGGCUGGCGUCUGCUUCUUUUGUAGCUUACUGACAUCGGAUUCAAACGGCGCUCCCUCUGACCGUGACUUUUCCUGUCGGCAGCAUCGCCUCCUCAUCCUGUUCAGCCACGCUCUGCCCUGGCUUUGUGAUUCUGUGGCAGCAGCGAGCACCACUGAGAAGAUUGCUCACCGGAGUUUAAGCCGGAGGACUACACAAGACAGAAAAUGUCUGAACCUGGCACUUGAGUGGUCUCAUG